UGGGGAAUAUUGCACAAUGGGCGCAAGCCUGAUGCAGCGACGCCGCGUGAGGGAUGACGGCCUUCGGGUUGUAAACCUCUUUCAGCAGGGAAGAAGCGCAAGUGACGGUACCUGCAGAAGAAGCGCCGGCUAACUACGUGCCAGCAGCCGCGGUAAUACGUAGGGCGCAAGCGUUGUCCGGAAUUAUUGGGCGUAAAGAGCUCGUAGGCGGUUUGUCGCGUCUGCUGUGGAAACGCGAGGCUCAACCUCGCGCCUGCAGUGGGUACGGGCAGACUAGAGUGCGGUAGGGGAGACUGGAAUUCCUGGUGUAGCGGUGGAAUGCGCAGAUAUCAGGAGGAACACCGGUGGCGAAGGCGGGUCUCUGGGCCGUAACUGACGCUGAGGAGCGAAAGCAUGGGGAGCGAACA
rnacentral:rRNA from 1 species